rnacentral:lncRNA from 1 species
UGUAAGUGUCUCCUGCACCACAGGAGAGGGUCAUAAACAUUGUUAGUAGACAUGAGUCUCCCCUGAGAAGUAAGCAUAGCCUCACGGUGAAAGGUGCCAAGGAAAAUGAGACUCACAGGUAAUUUUAUUAAGCAAUUCAAAAGGACUUGUGUUUGCAAUUAGAUGUCAAGAUGUCAAUAACAAAGAGAAAACAUUCUAGGCUGAAAAUCAGCAUAUUUUUUGAAGAGUAAUCAAAAAUUGAUGUAGUAAACAUAAAAUAAUUUGUGCAAAUCAGAUAUUGAAGAAUUGUUUUUAUUGUUUAAUUUCUAUGUAUAUAUUUGUGCCCAAUGAGUCAUGUACACUCAUGUGGGUGCUGCAGGUGCCCAUGUCCUGGACCUCAAAUGAUCAGCAAUUGAGUCACCUCAUAUGGGUGCUGUAAACUGAACCCAGGCCAUCUGCAAGAGCAGGAAUAUUCAAUGAAAGGGGUGCAAUUCGAGUGAAGGGUGGAUUUGUUGAAAAGAUUUUUGACAAGUGGUUUUCUUAAAAAAUAAACAAAACCCCAAAGUUGUAGAGACUAACUAACUCAAAUUAACUAACUCAUUAUUCAGUUCUGAUGUAUCUGAAGAAGUCUCUCUCUUUUUUAACUACUAAAGCAUUAAUUAGUCUAGAAACUAUAGAAGAAAGAAUAGGGUGUGGGUUUUUUGGAAUUGGCAUCAAAUAUAACCAUUGUUUAUGAGGUAAACACUCUACAUCUAGUUCCUAUUCAGGAAAACAGAAAUAGAGGUAAUAUCACUAAGUUUAAGUUAGCUGGUAUUGGUAACUAUAUCGCAAGUGUCCAGAAUUUGGCUGAAAAACAGGAGAGGUGUAUUUUUAAAAGAAAACAAACACGCUGCUUCUACUACUGAACUGCAGUGCAAUGAGCCCCAGUGCGGCUGGCCUGAACAACAGACAACAACUCACUUGCCAUUUUAGGGGCUUUCAGAUCAAAGUUCGGUAGGAUUGCUGUCAUUUGAGACUCACUGCUUGGCUUCAAGAUGUCUGGCCUCCCUGUAUCCUUACAUCAUCAUCUCUCUGUACACAUCUGUGUCCAAAUUUUACCCCUUAUUAUAAUAUCAGGCUGAAUAAGGGCCCAGCAUAAUACUCUUAUUUAAACUCAAUUACCUCCUUAAAGGUCUUGUCUCCAGAUUUAGUCAUAUCUGAAGUCUGGAGGAUUAAGGCCUUGACAUGAAAUUCGAAUAGUGACAGUGACACAAUCAAGUUCAAAACAAUGACAGCAGUGGAAGAUGGAGGAGGAGGAGGAGGAGGAAGAAGAAGAGGAGGAGGGAGGAGAGAGGAAGAAGAGGAAGGAGGAAGGAAGAGGAGGAGAGGAAGAGGAAGAAACAGCAGUGAAUGGUGGUGGGGACACUAGCUAAAGUCAAGGGCCAGUGGCUAGGGAUUAUAGAUUUCUUGGACUCUGGUUUAGAUUUGUUCUUUUAUAUUACUCUGUUCAGGGGUUUAGAGGUGCAGGAUGAGCAGAAUUUUAUCUUUUCUAUGAACUACAUUGUUCUUCCUGCUAGAACAAAGAAUUUAGGGUGUAUAGAGGAAGCAAGCAUUGGGCUUGCUUCUCUGUGGUCAUGACAAACAUGGAAAUUUAGCUUUUCCUUUGAAAAUGAUGACGUUUAUGUCCAUAUUUGUUAACAUUUUAAAUGGGGUAAAUAAAAGGAGAAACCCUGUCUCGAAAAACCAAAAAAAAAAAAAAAAAAAAAAAAAAAAAAAAAAAAAAAAAAGUCUAAAGAUGAAAACAAGUACACAUCCCCCAGGAAGCUAAAUCAUUUGGCAUAUUGGUGUAUUUAGGAAGAUGGCUUGAGAGAAAUGAUGAAUUGGACCUGUGCAGCAGCAUCUUAAGGAGUCUAGCCUGUUUUCAGGAGACAGUGGGAAACCCUUGAUGGUCUUGGAGGAAGACAAUAGUAUUCCGGCUCCUCACUAGAAAGACAUCAGCAUCCUGCAGGAGGGAGCAACACCAAAUGGAAACUGUUGGAAAGAACAGCAGAGGGAGCGGUCUCUUGUGCUCAUGAUACAAGGAGAGCAAAUAUCAGUGGCCAUAUGCCCCAGUCAACUCUAGAAGUCUGAUUUUCUUAGCAAUAACCAGCUUUAGGAAGGAGCAAAGGAACAAUACCUUGGCAUCUCCAGUCACAAGGACUCUAAUUAGCACGUGUAAUCCUCUUUCAGCCGAGGCCCUCAUGGGCGGAGCAAUGGAGCAUCAUCCCACAAGUCUGGCAGCAGCCCACCAUCCCCAAGGGAAAAAGACCUUGUGUCUAUGCUGUGCAGGAAUCCACUGAGCCCCAGUAACAUCCACCCUAGUUACGCCCCUUCUUCUCCAAGUAGCAGCAACUCCGGCUCCUACAAAGGAAGUGAUUGUAGUCCAGUCAUGAGGUAAGUCCCCAGUUGCCUCCUAAUUGAAUGCUGCUUAAUUUGUCCAGUUUGGGACUUUUCUCUAAAGGUGGGAAAAACUAUUUAGCUCUUGAUUCCCUAUUUUAAUCUUUACUAAGAUACUUCUCUUCUUUGUCACAGUUAGCUAAUUCUUUAAGGGUUGGUUCAGAAAGAACAUAGACCACCACAAGCUAACACAAUACCUGCCAGUCCAAACAGUUACUGGAUGGGGAGGGGAAAUGCCACAGUGGCAAGGGCUGUUCUCAUUUCUUAGGCACAGGGAGGAAUUGUGCGGUGUUCAUUUGUUCAUUAAAUGCUUAUUCAGUAAUAGGGUCUGUGUGCCAUACUGAGAAUAGAGUGUGGUGAACAGAAAUGGACCUCAGGCUCACUGCCAAAGAAGGAGUCUAGC